AACGAACGCUGGCGGCAGGCUUAACACAUGCAAGUCGAACGGGUGUAGCAAUACAUCAGUGGCAGACGGGUGAGUAACACGUGGGAACCUUCCUAGGGGUACGGAACAACUCAGGGAAACUUGAGCUAAUACCGUAUACGUCCGUGAGGAGAAAGAUUUAUCGCCCUUAGACGGGCCCGCGUCGGAUUAGCUAGUUGGUGGGGUAACGGCCUACCAAGGCGACGAUCCGUAGCUGAUCUUAGAGGAUGAUCAGCCACACUGGGACUGAGACACGGCCCAGACUCCUACGGGAGGCAGCAGUGGGGAAUCUUGGACAAUGGGCGCAAGCCUGAUCCAGCCAUGCCGCGUGAGUGAAGAAGGUCUUCGGAUUGUAAAGCUCUUUUGCCAGGGACGAUAAUGACGGUACCUGGAGAAUAAGCCCCGGCAAACUUCGUG
rnacentral:rRNA from 1 species